UACGUAGGGACCAAGCGUUGUUCGGAUUUACUGGGCGUAAAGGGCGCGUAGGCGGCUUAACAAGUCACUUGUGAAAUCUCCGGGCUUAACUCGGAACGGCCAAGUGAAACUGUCAAGCUAGAGUGCAGAAGGGGCAAUCGGAAUUCUUGGUGUAGCGGUGAAAUGCGCAGAUAUCAGGAGGAACACCGGUGGCGAAGGCGGUUCUCUGGGCAUUACCUGACGCUGAGGAGCGAAAGUGUGGGGAGCGAACAGG
rnacentral:rRNA from 1 species